AGAGUUUGAUCCUGGCUCAGGAUGAACGCUGGCGGCGUGCUUAACACAUGCAAGUCGAACGGAGAUAGUUUUGUAGCAAUAUAAAGCUAUUUUAGUGGCGGACGGGUGAGUAACGCGUGAGGAACCUGCCUCGGAGUGGGGGAUAACACAUUGAAAGGUGUGCUAAUACCGCAUGACAUAUCCCGAUCGCAUGAUGCUGAUAUCAAGAUUUAUCGCUCCGAGAUGGCCUCGCGCCUGAUUAGCUUGUUGGUGGGGUAACGGCCCACCAAGGCUUCGAUCAGUAGCCGAGCUGAGAGGUUGGCCGGCCACAAAGGGACUGAGAUACCGCCCAGACUGGUACGGGAGGCAGCAGUGGGGAAUAUUGGGCAAUGGGCGCAAGCCUGACCCAGCAACGCCGCGUGAAGGAAGAAGGCCCUCGGGUUGUAAACUUCUUUUGUCGGGGACGAAACAAAUGACGGUACCCGACGAAUUUGCCACGGCUAACUACGUGCCAGCAGGGGCGGUAAUACGUACCUGGCAAGCGUUAUCCGGAUUUACUGGGUGUAAAGGGCGUGUAGGCGGGAGUGCAAGUCAGAUGUGAAAAUUAUGCCCUCAACCCAUUUCCUGCAUUUGAAACUGUAUUUCUUGAGUGAUGGAGAGGCAGGCGGAAUUCCGUGUGUAGCGGUGAAAUGCGUAGAUAUACGGAGGAACACCAGUGGCGAAGGCGGCCUGCUGGACAUUAACUGACGCUGAGGCGCGAAAGCGUGGGGAGCAAACAGGAUUAGAUACCCUGGUAGUCCACGCUGUAAACGAUGGAUACUAGGUGUGGGGGGUCUGACCCCCUCCGUGCCGCAGUUAACACAAUAAGUAUCCCACCUGGCCAGUACGAUCGCAAGGUUGUUACUCAAAGGAAUUGACGGGGGCCCGCACAAGCGGUGGAGUAUGUGGUUUAAUUCGAAGCGACGCGAAGAACCUUACCAGGGCUUGACAUCUUACUAACGACGCAGAGAUGCAUUAGGUGCCCUUCGGGGAAAGUAGAGACAGGUGGUGCAUGGUUGUCGUCAGCUCGUGUCGUGAGAUGUUGGGUUAAGUCCCGCAACGAGCGCAACCCUUAUUGUUAGUUGCUACGCAAGAGCACUCUAGCGAGACUGCCGUUGACAAAACGGAGGAAGGUGGGGACGACGUCAAAUCAUCAUGCCCCAAAUGUCCUGCCCCACACACGUACUACAAUGGCGGUUAACAGACCGAAGCAAGACCGCGAG
rnacentral:rRNA from 1 species